rnacentral:rRNA from 1 species
GAUGAACGCUGGCGGCAGGCCUAACACAUGCAAGUCGAACGAACCUUUCGGGGUUAGUGGCGGACGGGUGAGUAACACGUGGGAACGUGCCUUUAGGUUCGGAAUAACUCAGGGAAACUUGUGCUAAUACCGAAUGUGCCCUUCGGGGGAAAGAUUAAUCGCCUUUAGAGCGGCCCGCGUCUGAUUAGCUAGUUGGUUGAGGUAAUGGCUCACCAAGGCGACGAUCAGUAGCUGGUCUGAGAGGAUGAUCAGCCACAUUGGGACUGAGACACGGCCCAAACUCCUACGGGAGGCAGCAGUGGGGAAUCUUGCGCAAUGGGCGAAAGCCUGACGCAGCCAUGCCGCGUGAAUGAUGAAGGUCUUAGGAUUGUAAAAUUCUUUCACCGGGGACGAUAAUGACGGUACCCGGAGAAGAAGCCCCGGCUAACUUCGUG